rnacentral:rRNA from 1 species
CGACCGGCGCACGGGUGAGUAACACGUAUGCAACCUACCUACUACAGGGGGAUAACCCGGAGAAAUUCGGACUAAUACCCCAUAACACAGGGAUGCCGCAUGGCAAUAUUGUUAAAGAAUAAUCGGUAGUAGAUGGGCCUGCGUUCCAUUAGCUAGUUGGAGAGGUAACGGCUCCCCAAGGCAACGAUGGAUAGGGGAACUGAGAGGUUUAUCCCCCACACCGGAACUGAGACACGGUCCGG